GGGAAUAACACUCGAAAUGUAAAUAAGAAACACUCAAGUUAAUAAAAAGCUCUCUUUGUUAAAAAAAAAAAAAGAUAAGGCCCCUCUGAAGAGCUGUUCUCAGCAGAGGUCUUCCUAGGACCUGCUACACAGCUCAGUGUCUCCCUCUAUCCCUCCUGUUCCCUCCCUCUGUCCCAUAGCUGUGGUUCCCAAGGAUGUUCUUUUCUAACAGUCACAAGAAUUGGACUCCUUACACCCACUUCAGUAGUUGGAGAAGAAGAGGUACUAUCAAGCCAUUAAUGACAUUGUCCCCAGGGAAGCUCAAAGGACUGUGUGGCAGCAUGUGAUUGGGUUAGUGGUAGACUAGUGGAGAAAUGAAUCUGCCCAGAGAACCCAGUGUCCCAAAGGAUACUGGCAUCUGUGUGCUGAACUCUAAAAGUCUGGGCCUGGGCGGUGAACUUUGCAUAUGGACUGUAGCAGCCACCAAUGGAUUCUCACAGCACCGCCCUUCAUAUUAGAGCCAUGGUCUGAAUUAGCAUUUUAAGAGGGCUCGGAGUUUAUCUGUGUGAUUAUUGCUAUCAUUAUUAUGCUUUUAUAGUCUUCCAAGAGCUAUAAGCAAGAGGAAUUAAUAUCUACUUACUUUUAUACAUAUUUAAAUAAUAAUACUGUGAUGAAAGCAAUUAAAACUUAAGCUUGGGUAUUUGGGAGGCCCAGGCUUGCCCUUUAAAAUAGGUCUAUACAUCAUUCAAGCUUAGGAAUUACCUAUUUCUGUAAGCCUGACAUUGGAGCCUGGGUUUUGAGGAUCUAUGGCUUCAGUGUGUAACCUUGGGCAUGCCAUUGGACUCGUCAAGCCUUGAGCAUCCUAGCUAUAAAUGAGGAUAAUGACCUGUACCCCACAGGCUUGCUACAGGACAGAAUGGAGCUCAGACAGUUUGAGCACGGGAUAACAGCCCGAUAAACAGCAACAGGUUGAAAGGGCUCAGUAGCAAAACAAUACAUCCCUCUGCAAACUCAGUCUGAGCCAGGCUUGGAAAAUCCAUCUGCUAUCCGUGAAGAACUGCAGGAAGAGAGGGUUGCAGGUGAAUUACUUCCAAUAAAGAGCCAGGUAAUUUGCUUAAUAGCAAGCAAGUCAAAACCCCAAGGCACAUAGAAGGGAAAGGUUAAAAGUGGAAAACCAGGAAGAGUUGAUACCAAAAUUUAUCCUCGGGGAAUUUUACAUUUAGAUUCACUCAACAAUGAAAUAAAUAGUCCUGUGUUAGGCUAACUAAUGCCCCCUCAAAAAUAGCUACAUCCUAAGGUCUGGAUGCUCUGGAUUUUGUUUUAUGUGCCCCAAAGGACAUUGAAGAUAGGGUUGAAUUCAUAAUCAUGAUUUUGGAAGAUGUCCUAGAUUAGCGGGGGGCACUAAAUAUGAGAGAAUCAGUUGCUUUUAUAUUAUUGUAAACAGGUAGCCAAGAUGCAGCAGGUUAAGGGAGGAAGGUUAUUUGGGCUUACAGUUUGAGGGGAUACAGUCCUUAUUGGAGAAGAUGGCAUGGUGGCAGGAAUGUGCAGCUGGGGUGGGGUUCCUCAUCUCACAUCUUGGUGGAAUAGGAAGGACUGUGCUAAAAAAGUCUCAUGGGCCACCCUCAGUGACUCACUUCCUCCAGCAAGAAUCUUCCUCCUAAAAGUUCCACAGCCUUCCAAAACACCCCCUAAAGGUCUUCCAGCAUUUCAAAAACAAUGCCACCAAAGUGCCAGGGACCAAGUAUUCAAACUUGGACAUUUCUUUCACAUUUAAAUCACAACAGUAUCAUUAAAAGAGGGAGAUACAGGACAUUUUGCCUGAAAUAGAAAAGCCAAUGUAUUUGUGGAAGCAUGCUGGAAUGAUGGGCCGCAAGCCAAGGAACUGUAUCAGACAGUAGCCAGAAGCUGAAAGAGGCCCCCUGCUCUGCACACACCUUGAUUUUGGACUUUUGACAUCAGAACUAUAAGAGAAAAAGUAUGCAUUGACUUAUCCCACAUUUGGAGUAAUGUUCAGGGAUGCCAGGAGUAGAAACCAGCAAAAGAUCUCUGAGCCUCACUUGCUCCUUGAUUAAUGGGUGCGGUCAGUAGAAGAAGAAGCUGAAGGAUCAUGGUUAUUCAAGGAUGAAGAGCUGGCUGAAUCCUGCCUCUCCCCUGCCUAGCUGUGUGUCCUCAGGACAGUCAGUGAGUUUCCCCAAGUCCCAUGUCCUUUAUCCCCUACAUGGAACUCAAGUUAACAGUGUGGGAUUAAAUGUGAGAAUUUAUGAACUAUAAAACUAUGUGAACUAUUUCAUUACUGUUUUCUAAAUAUAAUUUCAUUAACUCUAAGAAUCUCAUACACAUAGUUUGAUCACAUUUACCCCAACUCUCCUCCCUAAUUCCUCCCAGUUUCUUUCUUUUCUUUUGAGACAGAGCCUUUCUACAUAGCCUUCGUUGGCCUUGAACUCCUAGAGAUCCACCUGCCUCGGCCUUCCGAGUACUGAGGUUAAAGGCAUGCACCACCACAACUGGCCCACAUAUUUCUUUUUAAAGAAGAAACUAUGUCAUAACAGAUAUCUUCAUCCUCUGGUUCUUACAACCUCUCUGCCCUCUGCUGUGUUCUCCGAGUCGUAAGUGUAGGCAUAGGGUUGCAAGUGCAUUUAUUUGGGGUGAGCACCCUACAAUCAGUUGAUCUCUGUGACUCUUGAGUAAUGUUCUCCAUCUGCUGCGAGCAGAGGACUGUAAUCAAGAGACCUCCUCUUAAGGGGCUGGUAAGAGCACUGGCUGCUCCUACAAAAGACCCAGGUUUGGUUCCCAGAACUCUCAUGGCAGCUCUUACCAGCUAUAACUCCAGUUCUGGGGUUUUUGAUGCCUUCUGGUCUCUGUAAGUACUGUAUGCACAUAGAUGUAUAUGAAUUUAUAUGUAUACACACAUAUAUGUAUACACACAUAUAUGUAUACACAUAACGUAUAUGGCAAAAUUCAUAUACAUUAAAAACGUGAUGUCUACACGUUGUGUAAGAAUGGUCAUGGUCAUUAUAUCCUAAUCUGAAGUUCUUUCAAAAUGUCACACAUUUCAACAUUUCACACAACUUCAACACCUCCAACUGCUUAAAUUCAUUCAUUCAUUCAUUCAUUCAUUCAUUUAUUCAUUCAUUCUUCUUUUGAUUGCUCACCCACAGCUUUGGCUACACAUUAUGAUAUUUUUAUCAACUAGACAUCUCUCUGAUACAAUGUUUUCUUUUCUUUGAAAGAAAGAUAUUGAUAAUUCCAUCAUCUUUAACUAUUGGGCAAUUUUCCUCUACUCAAAGUUUCCUGAAAUAUAAAUCAUGGAAAUAAUCCAUGCUCCAAGCUAUAACAAUAGAAGUAACUAUUACUUUUCAAGAUUGUUCACAAAUCUCUGUCUUCCUUGGUUCUGUGUGAAGUCAAGGGGACAAAAGAAAUAGCUUAGGGGUGUAAAGUUAGAUCCCAUCAAUAAUUUUUACCAUUUGUAAUUCAGUUGAAUAUUUUUUAAGCAGCCACUCAAAGAUUGCUGUUUCGAUGGAAACUGUGUAUGACCAUUUUUGUAAUAGAUUUUUCCCCUUAUUGUAAAGUGCGUUCAUUGUAGAAUAUUCAGAAAAUAGAACUAGGCAAAAGAAAUACUAUUAAAACAAUUUAUAACCCCACCACCUAUGGAUAGCCACAGUUGUGUUUUAUAUUUUUAAGUCAAAAGGGACAAAAAGGCACAUUGGUGAGUGUAACAUUUACAACCCCCAGGGGCUCAACUCUGAUGAUUUUUAUCAUGCUCUUGGGCCCUGCUGUGCAUGAGUGAAGCUGUCGCAUCCUGGAGUCUGGGAGUCCAGGGGAAUGGCACAGACAGGCUGGAGAGGUCCUGGUACUCCACAGCCACCAUAGGGCCUCCUCCUGACAUAGAACAGUGUGAAAGUCUCCGUUUGUGCUUCCUCACCCCUUCUGUUCCAGCCCAAUAGAGGGUGUGCAUUUGGUCAGGCUCCACCACCUCCAGGGCUGGUCCUCUUGCUUCCAUCCUCACCUUCAGAUGCUCUUUAGCCCAGACUCCUACCCACCUCAUCCUCAUGACCAGGCCAGCUCCUAAGACUUGGGUAUGGUCCGUGUGCUAGUGUGAGUGUGCUUAUAUGCAAUCUACAUAGUGCAGGUCCCACAAGGGUUUUUCCUUUGUUUUUGUUUCUUAAUUUCAUUUACAUUGGUGCUCUGCUUCCGGGUAUGUCUGUAUGAGGCUAUCAGAUCACCUGGACCUAGAAUUAGAGACAGUUGUGAACUCCCAUGUGGGUUCCAGGAUUUGAACCUGGGUCCUUUGGAAGAGCAGCCAGUGUUUUUAACCACUAAGCCAUCUCUCCAGCUCCCGAACCAUCUCUCUGGGCCCUAAAGAUUUAUUUAUAUAAGUAUACUGUAGCUGUCUUCAUGCAUCCCAGUAGAGGGCAUUGGAUCACAUUACAGAUGGUUGUGAACCACCAUGUGGUUUCUGGGACCUCUGGAAGAGCAGUGCUCUUACCCGCUGAGCCAUCUCUCCAAACCUCCAGGAGGUGGUUGUAUGGUUGACCUGAGUGGUGGGGUCUGCUUCAUUAAAGUGUGGUAUCCUCUGGCCCUGCUCACCAUGAGUGUUUCAAGCAGAGGAGCGGGCAUGAAUCCACAGGGCUCUGGUUUCUCUACCCUUAGGCUCAGCACCAGAUUGAGCACAGAGGAGUAGACACACAUUUAAUAGGUGAACAAAUCAGUGGUGGCCCACAGCAUCGUCAAAUAGACUUCCAACUUGAUUUGCAUGUGAUACUCUCCCUGGAAGUGGCUUAGAGAAAUAAGGAAAACAGAGCUCAGAGAGAAUUACUACUCUGCUUUUGCCGGAAUGAGCCAGAUGGCAGAGGUGGCCAUUUGUAAAGGACUUCCGGUUGUCAGUGGUACAGAAGGGAGUUGGACUUCCUAGUGUUUUUGUUGUUGUGUUUAAUUUUGUUUCUGUGAUGGUUUGUAUGUGCUCAGCCCACUGAGUAGCACUAGUAGAAAGUGUGGCCCUGUUUGAGUAGGUGUGUCAUUGUGGGUGUGGGCUUUAAGACCCUCAUCCUAGCUGCCUGGAAGUCAGUAUUCUGCUAGCAGCCUUCAGAUGAAGAUGUAGAGCUCUCAGCUCCUCCUGCACCAUGCCUGCCUGGUUGCUGCCGAGUUCCUGCUUUGAUGAUAAUGGACUGAACCUCUCUGACCCUGUAAGCCAGCCCCAAUUAAACAUUGUCCUUGUAAGAGUUGCCUUGGGGGCUCGAGACCCCAUGUGAACAACAACGCCAACCAACCAGGGCUUCCAGGGACUAAGCCACUACCCAAAGACUAUACAUGGACUGACCCUGGGCUCCAACCUCAUAGGUAGCAAUGAAUAUCCUAGUAAGAGCACCAGUGGAAGGGGAAGCCCUUGGUCCUGCCAAGACUGAACCCCCAGUGAAUGUGAUUGUUGGGGGGAGGGUGGUAAUGGGGGGAGGAUGAGGAGGGGAAGCCCUUAUAGAAGGGGAGGGAAAGGGUUAGGGGAGAUGUUGGCCCAGAAACCGGGAAGGGGAAUAACAAUCGAAAUGUAAAUAAGAAAUACUCAAGUUAAUUAAGAUAAAAAAAAAAAAAAGACUUGCCUUGGUCCUGGUGUCUGUUCAUAACAGUAAAACCCUAACUAAGACAGUUACUUAGUCCUUUUGUGACAUAGCAUAGGGCUGGAGGUGCCUGGAUUUGGAAAGUUUAUUUAUUUAUUUGUUUAGACUCCUGUGUGUGCAGAGGUUAAAGGAAAAUGUUUGGUGUCUGUCAUUCUCUAUCUCCAUGUUAGUUUUUGGGAUAAGUUCUCUUACUGAACCUGAAGUGUUGGGAUUUGAACAUAGGUCCCCAACUUCAUUGCUAGUGGCCUUAACCACAUUUUAAAGAUCAUGCUCAAAAAUUAUAGGGAAUAAUAAAGUUUUAUUGCAUCGUACUGUUGUGCUCAAGUGCUGCUCCCUUUGUCAGUGCUUAUUGCACAGCUUUCUGUUUCUGAAACAUUUUCAAGAAAACUGGAGGCAACCCUAACACAGCCUCUGGCUAUGCUGCAGAGUCUAAAUGACACUUCUACUUCUGGGACAGGAGCCUGCUGGGUACCAAGGGUCAGUAAAGGUGGGUGGGGCUGAAACGGGCUGAGAUGGAUGAAUCUGGCUCAUGACAGGUGAAGAAUAUAAAUGUCUUUACCCCACUCCGUCUUCAGUGACAUCACACACAACAGCUUGAAACUGGACAGGCGGGGGUGUUUGUGUCCUAGAAAUGGGCACACACUAUACAUUUAUUCUUUUCUCCCUAGCUUCGAAGUCUACUUGUGUACAGGCUUAGUGAUGGCGAAUAUUUGAUCACCACCUUGACAGGAUCUAGAUUCUCCCAGGAGGCAAAUCUCUGUGCGUAUCUGACAGGGAGUUUCUGUAUCGGGUUUACUUAGGUGAGAAGACUCACAUUAAGUGAGGUUGGUAUCAUUCCAUCUGGGCUGAAUAAAAAAGGAGAAAAUGAGCUGAGAGAACUCGUUAUGUUUUAUCGCUCUUUGCUUCUUAAAUCCAAGGGCUGGGGAGAUGGGUCAGAGUGUUAACUAUGAAAGCAAGAGGACCUGAGUUCAAGUCCUACCACUCUUGCCCUGUCAGUGGAGAAUGACAGAGGAAGACACCACUGGAACUGUGGCCCCCACUUCUGAUUCCUGUUACCACAACCCCCACCACUAUGCUCUGUACUCUGAGCCAAAAGGAGCUUUUCCUCCUUCAAGUUACUUUUGUCAAUUGUUUUGUUCCAGCCACAUAGAAAAUAUUCAUAAAAGCCCCACCUCAGAAAGACUGCGCUGACAUUUCUAGGUGCAGAAACAUACGGUUCAAAACAGUGUUCUCAAAGUGAUUCUGCUCAGUGGGAUGGCAGAGACGAAGCUCUGUGUGUCUCAAGAUGUCAAGACACUUUAGGAAGCAGGCCGUACAGUGUGACCUGUGAGGACACUGGUUUCCUAAACAGGUCCUCGGUGGUGUCAUGUCUCUAGAUACUCAUCACAGGCUGAUGAGACCUGACUUGUGACUGUGACAGAGGAAGUGUAGUAGGCACAAAAACACCACAGACGAUGACAUAGCCCAGGAGGAGUACAGCAUCUGAUCUGUCCUUCCCAUUCACAAUGGUCGUUCAGGUGUUCUCCUCUGAGAUGGGCUCUGGCCACUGCGCCAUCGCCACUGAACUCCUGAUUGACUUCACAGGACAACACAACAUCUCAGGAUGUCUACACAGCUUCAGUAGCCACAGUUCUGCCACUCUCGGGUCAGACAGGUGCACAGAGUGUGCUGCUGACUUACUGAGUAGAUAAUUAGGUAAACUGGACAAAUGAAUUAAUGAAUAUUAAUUUCCAGAACAACACAUUGCUGAGAUAAUCCAGUGCAUCGCGCCAUGGACAAAAGGCUUUCUGUUAGAAUUCUUUCAAUUUAGCAGUUAGCCCAGGCCGGGUCUUCUGUUCCAUUUCAAGGUCAGGACCACGUGGUCCUGACCUUGGCAGAUGAUCCUUGAAAGGCUCGAAGCUUUUUCCCCUGCUUUAAUCCUGUGUCCAUUUAAUGAGCUAUACUUUCUCUGGAAACAGUACAGUGAAUAUCACCAAGAUGGCUAAUAAUGUUAACAUCACCACAGAGAGAGCCAGAGAGUACUCAAUUAAAGUAAUAACUCUUAAUGCAGGAGAAAUUGUUUUCCUCUUACGAAUCCAAUCUGGCCGUCAGCUCACCAGCAUAUUUAAAUGACAGAAAUUACCUGUAAGCCAUAGAUCUGUAGCGCGAGGUUGAAAUGCACUUCUAGUUAUACCUUUUGAUGAUGUGUUAUGGAUGUUCUUAAGGUCAGAGUUCAUAUCUUGUCAGGUUUGCACCUCCCAUCGACAGCCAGCGUGAUUACCUCCUCAAAUAUAUAAUGCGCAAAAAUGUAAAGAGCCAAGGGAGGGAGGAAGAAAACCAUUUUAAAGUGUUACUUAGAAAAGCCCAACAGUGUCACCUUCCUAAGGCCUCAAACGAGCACCACAGUUGUUAUUUACCUUUAGCACUGAAGAUGGGAAUAAAAAUCCCCUUUCCAAGCCAAGGCUCAAUUCAAGAGCUUUUUUUCACCAAAGACACUGGCUGUCCUAGAGUGUCCCUCUCCCUUCACGGUUCAGUCUGUAGAUUUUGAGGUAUGAGGAGAUUUACCAGAGGAAGUAGCCCAGGGUUCCCAAACAUUCUGAUGUAGAAAACAUGCCCGACAGUGAGAAACAGGAAAGCCACCAUGUCCCAGGCUAGCCUUGAACUCACGACGUAGCUCAGGCGGAUCCCACGAUCCUCUUCCUGCCUCAGGCUUCUAAGCACUAGGAUUAUAGACCUGUACCAACACUGAGAAGCCAUAUUAGAAAACUAUUUUCCAGCAAGUGUACAGACAAAGAGCAAGGGUUUGGCUAGACGGUCUUAAUGGCUACUAUAUGGAGCUGAAAUCAAAAGUAUUUACCUCCACUUUAGGGCUAGUCUUGCCUUGCAGAUCAAAGCCUCAUGUCCUCUCAUGUUCUCUCCCCUACCCCCCUUCUGUGCACUGUGAUUUAGAGAAAAACUGUAACCAGGACAACUUUCUCCGAUAGUCUGGAUUUAACCUAUACUUCUCUCAUGAAGGAUGAGUUUUCCUGCUGCUUUUCAAUAAAGCAGAUGGGGCUGUGGCAGGAGGGACAUUGCAAUGAGAAUAGGAAGGUUCCAUGAAUUAAUGUCUGCAAGAGGACAUUUAUAUUCGUUUUGGCUCAUCUAAGUGGAUUAGAUGAAUGGAUUUAGCACAGUGGCCUUGGGUGGUGGGGAAUGGUGGUGAGCAGGGUAACUGUGUGCACAGCCAGCAUAGAAAGACCUGGAAGGCAGGAAUAACUUCAGAGUCAGCCUCAGAGUGGGGCUGAAUUCAUCCUCAGCCGAGAUCGUGUACCGUCUCCACCUAUCCCUCCAAGGGCUUUGUUCAUUUUCCAUAACUCGGAGUAGAGUUCGGUCCUCAGCUGUUCAGAAUUCAUGAGACAGAAAAGUUAUUCUAUCCGAAUUGUCAACUGGCUGAGCUCAAUUCAACCUCUCUGGCAACUGAGAAAACAAAUUAUGACAGAGGAAAGAAAUGGACCUUCGCAACUUGCUUUCCUAGGCUGCUUUUAAAGCAGCUCUGAUCUAUGGAGAGUCUGUCACACAGUGUUCCUUGUGGCGCUGAACGGAGCUGGUGGGUGGAGGGGGGCUCAAGUACAUUUCAGUGGUCUCUAGGCACCCCUGUUACCUACUUGUCACCAGGACCAGAAUUAUAGUAGGUACUGCCGAAUGCCUAAUACCUGACUGCUUCAGGGACAAAUGCGCCUCUGAUUUGGAGCUGACGCGUCAUUCAUUUGCUACCCUCUAUUAGGUGUCUACCAGAUACAUCAGGGGCUAGCGACAUAGAGAUGAUUAAGACGUAGUUCCUACCCUCAAGGAACUGUAUUUCAUCAGCAGGACAGAUGGGAAUACGCAGUGACAAGUGAGAGAGACGCUGGCCUGAGGGUGAUGGGCUGAUUCUCACUUGUUAUUUCCCGGAACUCAUUGACCCAGGUACACGCACAUGUACCAUGUGCAUUUCGGUGUACAUGGAUGCAGAAAGAGGAUGUUGGAUUGGGAACCCUACCUUGGUCCUCUGAAAUGCUGAGCCACCACAUUCUCUUUAUUUUAUGCUCAAGAAAAGGGAGACCCAGAGAUGAGAAUGUGCCUCUCGAUAUCACAGAACUUGCAGGUAACAGAGAUGAUAUUUAAACCUAAGUCUGCUUGAGUGGAAAAACCCAUGUAUUUUCUGCCAUUCUGUCCCGUCUGCCCAGUGACAGAAAAGUGCUUCUUUUUUGUUUUAAUACUAAAGUUGAAGAGAUUCGACAAUAAAUAAGUGAACUCAGAGACUAUUCUAGUUCAAAUAGUCUCCCAAAUAUAUUAUUAAAAUCAUCCCCCAAGAGCUGAUGGAGAGACUAUUUAUUUCUUGAAAAUAGUUGUAAAAAUAUACGAGAGAACAAAAGCUGGCUGUGUGUGGAGCCCAAGGAGUCUCCUAGGCCAAUAGCUAUCAAUCCUUCUCUAAAGCAAUGGAAUACAUUUUGUUAAAUAAAAGUUUGCUCAGCACUCUAAUACAGAAAGCAGACAGGAUUAAAGCUGCUUUCAGACCUGAGGGAGCACAUGUUUCCAGGCUUGUUGGACAGACACCUGGGGUCUUCCUUAAUGAAGGGUUGGCAUGUAUGGAAGCAAGACAGCCACCUAACUUGCUGUGAGUGGACAGCAAAUGGGACCAGUGAGUUUCUCAGAACUAGGAGGAGUCCUGGCAAACACCCAGGACCCAUGGCAACUUUUCCCAUGGAAGGGCUUCACCAGGACUCUUGGGAGGUGGGAGUGGCUGGACAGGUUGGGCCAAUGCUGUUGUGAGGCUUUUCUCAUGAUAAUGGUUGCCUUUCGAUGCCUUUAACUGUGGUUAGGUCCUCUUUAUAGACCUUCUUUGAAAGGCCAGUGUUAUGGUUUUAAUGGGGGCACACACAAAACACUUUGUCCCCAGCUGGUGACCCUACUCUUUGGGAGCUUUUCUUUUCUUUUCUUUUCUCUUUUCUUUUCUUUUUUCUUUCUUUUUUUCGGAGCUGGGGACCGAACCCAGGGCCUUGCACUUGCUAGGUAAGUGCUCUACCAUUGAGCUAAAUCCCAACCCCUUUGGGACCUUUUCAAACGUUUCAGAUCCAGCAGGUGAUGCAUGACUGUGGGGUUGGGCCUUGAAUGUCAUAGACUGCUUUGCAUCUGGAUCACCGUUCCUGCUCUGCUGAGAUGUGUGGAAUCCUGGCCACAGGUUCCUAUCACUAGGAAUUCCAUUAUGCCUUCUCUGUCAUGCCUUGCCCAUGAUGACGGGAUGUUGUUCUUGAGCCCAAAUUAGCCCUUCCUCCCCUCAGUUGCUUCUGUCAGAUAUUUUGUCGAUAAUGAGAAAAUAACAACUAUAGCUACCCAUCAAACUGCUUAGCUUACUACUGGAAGGGGCAUAGCUACCCAUCAAACUGCUUAGCUUACUACUAGAAGCAGCCAAUUCUUCUGUGGGUUCGGUCCUAGUUUGCCUUCUGCUACUGUGAAAAGACACUGAUCAAAACCAGCCUGGGAAGGAAAGCGUUAACCUUACAACUCAGUCUGCCCUAGAGGGGAGCUAAGACAGGAACUCAAGGCACAGACCUAGAGGCAGGAACUGAAGUAGGCCAUGCGGGAACAACACUGCUUAUUGGCUGGCCCCUCAUGGCUUGCUCAGUCUGCUUUCUUCUACCUCCUAGGACCACCUGCCGGGAGACGGUUCCAUCCUCCCACAUCAAUCGCUAACCAAGAAAACAAUCCAGAGACUCGCCUAGAAGCCCAUCUGGUGGAGGCAUUUUCUCAGUCGAGAUUUUCUCUUCCCCAGAUGAUUGAUUGCUUUUUGUCAACUUUAAGUUGACAAAAAUCUAAUCAGCACUUUGUCUGUGAAAUUCAGAGUAAGGAGUCUCAUCAGAUAACUUCCUUUUCUCUCUCUCUAAAAAUCACAUUUCCUAUUGAUUUUUUUUGUAUCAUUUCAAGUCAUAUAGCCCAACCACACUCAUUUCACGGUCCUUCCAUAUCUGCCCUCCACUCUUGUAACCUCCCCCAUCAGAAAAUUAAAAAUAAAAAUUAAAUUAAACAAUAAUAAGAAAACCCUCACCAUGGAAACUGCCGUGUGUCACAGUGUACAUCCCACAGUAUACCCUUUGGCCAAGCAGGUUUACUUGCUAAUAAUCAUUGCAAUGAGCCUGGAUUGAGGUCUCUGGCUUCUGCUACAUCAUUAAUACUGGACCCUCAUGGAGACUCGCCUCAGAUAGCCUCAUCAAAUACUUCUAAAGAGAAGAACCCCAUCCAACGAUCUCUAAGAUUUCUAUCACCAUCCAGCCACAUACAGGUUCAGAUAGAAAUUACAGCUAACCUCCUUAGAGGGAUUCUGUUCACUACUUGCUUCUGGUUGGGUGAAUAGCUCAGUACUUACAGGCACCUCCAAAAUGCCUGUGGCUCACUCCCAUACACAGGAUUGAUCACAAACUAUCCCAGAUGCCAACUUCUUUAUUUAGAAUUUAAUUCAUUUACAACAUUUUAUUUCCAUAUUAUUAGCAGAAACCAGGGAAGUAACUGUUCCCAAUUCCCAUCCUCCUUCUAUUUGGUAAUAAUCCGGCCACACAACCAACACCAAGCCACUCACAUCAUCCUCUUUAAAGACUUUUUUUUUUGAGACAGUGUUUAUCUAUGUAGCCUUGGGUAGCCUGGAACUCAUAUGUAGACCAGGCUGUCCUUGAACUCACAGAGAUCUGCUACAUCUGUCUAACAGGUGCCGGGAUUAAAUGUGAAUGCUACCACUGCAUGCCUUUUAGUAAAUUGUACUUUUAUUUACGUGCAUGUGCUACAGUAUAGGUGCUGGUAGAGAUCUGAAGAGGGUGUCAGAUCUACUGGAUCCAGAGUUACAGGUGGUUGCUGGGAAUCAAACUCCAAGUGUGGCAAGUGUCAUUAUCCACUGAGUCAUCUCUCCAGCAUAUGUAUCACCCAUUUGCAAGGAAAAUACUUGUCCUCAUUCUUAUUUUUCUGUUACUACUGCUGGAAAAAUGUAAUUACCAGAGAACCUCUCCUGGGAUGCAGGUGUGGGAGUCAAGUCUGGCAGGGACAGGCCAUCAGAUUCUUGCUCAUCUUUAAACUCUUGUUUGUGAGGGAAACAAAUGUCUAUCUUGUUUAAAUCACCAUCUAUAUUAUUAUGGUAUGUGAACAGUAUAUCUGUGUAUAUUUGUGUGUGUGAGAAUGUGUGCAUAUAUGUGUGCAUGCGAGGUCAUCAUGUGUGUGAGAUGCAUCUAUGUAUGAGUGCAUGGGCACAUGGAGGUCAGGGGUCAAUAUAAGGUGUCAUUUUUACCUUGGUUUUUGAGACAGGGUCUGUCAUUGAAUCUGGAGCUCACUGUAGUGGCUAAAUUUGAAGGCUAGCGAGCUCCAGGGGUCUGCUGGCCUCUGUGGGCUUGAGGAUUGCUCUGGCUGGUUUCUGGGCCAGUGCCUCAUGACACUGGCUCACUCUGUCUCUUGUCUUCAGGAACCUUGAGCUAUUGUUCCAGGUGUGAUUUCCUGAAACCACCAUUUGAAGGACACCGUGUGCACUUCAGUGUACAGUUCCUGCCUUCCAGAUACCCCUCCAAGGUUACAGACCCAAAAGAUGCCAUCUUAGAUCCCUACAGUCAGCCUGUCAGCUGAACAUCAUAAACAGCUUGACGGAUAGCUCUUGAAGAGUGAGAGGAAUUUGUCCAGCUCAUGUGGGGAGACAAUGUGUUAACACUACUUUUCUGAACUGUGGCCUCAAUAGAAACAAUUGGUGACAUUAAAAAUGGCAGAAUGGGGGCUGGGUUUGGUGGCACAUGCCUUUCAUCCCAGUACCCCUGCUGCAGAUGCAGGCAGAUCUCUGUGAGUUCAAGGCUAGCCUGGUCUAUAAAGUGAGUGCAGGACAGUACAGUCAGGGCUCAGUUACACAGAGAAGCCCUGCCACAAACAAACAAACAAACAAACAAACAAACAAAGGAAGAAUGGAAAGAUACUUGUGCUUUAGCCCUGGGCAGCCUCAGAAAGCCACUGCACCAACCUUAGAAUCAUUUGCCCUCUAUUCAUUCAGUGAGACAGUAAGAGUCCAUUUGUCUCAGCCACUUUUGCUUUUUCUGUUAUUUGUGUCAUUUAAAGAUUCCAAUAAACACAACCAACUACCUUUUACCUCUCAAGAGGUUUUUGUGACUGGGACAAGAAGUUGUGGGUGGGUUUAAGGCCACACUCUGACUUCUUUAAUGAAGUUACCAGCGGAGAAUGGUGUCCCUGGCUGUCAUCAUCAGGUGGCCCUCUGAGGUCCCCCUGAGAUUUGAUGCACAGUCUGCACUUACUCUAGCCUGUAGGUUGUUAACAGCAGGGGUUUCCAUGGUAGGGCUCCUCUGACUUCUCUUUACUUCCUAGAAUGGAGGAAGCCAGCAUGGUCGUCUGGAUAGCUAAGAUCAUUAACAGUUUCAGGUGUAAGGGAAUCUUUGCAAACCCACAGGGAUGUUUUGUUUUGUUUUGUUUUCUAACCUUUAGUGGUUUUGAAAACAGAAGCACCCCCAGGAAGCCUCAGCUCUACAAUAGAAUCAACAUCCUCCAUUCUAGCAAUGAGUUGGUUGUGAGGUGAACCUCCUGUCCAGGCAGGUCACGUUUCUCUUCUGAAGUUUCCCUUUCUAGAGUCAACAAACAGGGGAGAAUCUGCAUUGCCUCCACGACUCCUACAUGGCUAACAAAUGGGAUUCUUCAACAGUUUUCCCAUUGCAAGGGUUGGUCUGCCUAGGGAUGGGGCUCAGUGGGUGGAGAACUGAACCUGAGAGUUCUCUACCAAGUCAAGACGGAAGAAAGGACUACAACCAACCAACCAACUAACCACCACCACCAAAAAUCAAGGUCAGGAUUAAAUCAUCAUCAUCAUCAUCAUCAUCAUCACCAUCAUCAUCCUCCUCAUCAUCAAAAACAACAACAACAACAACAACAAAGUCAACAGUGUGAAGCCAUACAUCAAACCAGAGUCAGAGAAACUUCUUAAAGAAGAAUGUGGGGACAGAUCCAGUGAAGGAUAGGAAAGAAACCACAUAUGUGUAGGUAAUGGUGUGCUUGUGUGCACACAUGGGUCUGGUGGAUAACCUAUAGCAGCUGACAUCUGAUGGCAGAGAACGGUGUACCUAGCUCACUUAAGAAAUUUGAGGGAAGAUGUGUUUAUUUACAUCCAAGAUGCCGCCUAAUGCAUCUUGCUCAGGAAAACAGUGCUCACCCAAUGGAUCCAGGGUGUGACCUGCUAACUAAUUAUGGCAUUUAUUUCAAUAUUUCUUGUAUGACAGCCAGUCAAUUACUUGGCUAUUUCCCCAUCUGGAUCAAAAGACCUUUGAGGAUGGAUGGUUUCUUAUUCUUUCACAGCAUAUACCAGAAUGCUUUGUACAUAUAAAGUACUCAAUAAACAUUUUGAUUAAUAGCCACUGUCAAUCUUUUCGGUUGUUUCUUUUUUCUGUUAACAUUAAUAAGUAGAUUAACAAUGGUUUUGAUGGUGUAUUUUUUUCUCUAAGUGAUAUGAUCUAAACAGAGACUAAUCAUCAAGGGGCACAAAUUAAACCUUAGGUGGAAGAAUUAGGUGGAAGAGUUUAACAUAUUUAAGAAGACAUGCGGAGAGAGACAGGGAAGAGGCGAGAAGCUGAGUGUGCCUCUGAUUUUUCUCAGCUUUCAGAUUUUCUUUUAGAAACCACCCAAUCCUUUUUCUACACAUGGUAUUUUCCAGCUGUAUAUCUUUUUUUUUCUACAAUGUUUUUCCUAUUUGGCCAUAGAGUUUCAUUUAUUAAUGAAACAUAAUUAGGCCCCAUUUCAAAAGGAGGAACAAAGGCCGUUUUGUCCUGCUCUGAAGCUUGGUUCAGCCCAGGUCACGGUGACUGUCAGCAUCUCUGUUUUCAGGCUACAUAGACUUGGAUGCUUCAGCAAGACAACUGGGGGGCCAGUUGGUCAACUUCCCACUCCCUGGAGCCCCUGAAAGCAGUCCUCCCAAGUUCUGGAGUCUGUGUUCAGUGAUCAUAAAUACAGGCCUAUGGCUUCCAGUCCCACUUGGCAAGGAGAGUGUGGUAGGUUCACUGCCAAUUCUGUCAUUUCUCAGGGCCCAGAGCUAUCUCGUGAUGGCUCACACGCUGGCCUUCCAGAAUGGGAGCUCUCUCUUCAAAAGCUAUUACCAUCUCCUCACUGAUUAGCUGUUGCUUCUGAAAACGUUCAAAAGACUAUGAAAAUAUGGCC